UGCCAGCAGCCGCGGUAAUACGUAGGGGGCAAGCGUUGUCCGGAUUUACUGGGUGUAAAGGGCGCGCAGGCGGAUUUGUCAGUCAGGGGUGAAAUCCUACAGCUCAACUGUGGAACUGCGUUUGAAACCAUAUGGCUUGAGGGAGAUAGAGGUGAGCGGAACAGAUGGUGUAGAGGUGAAAUUCGUAGAUAUCUGGAGGAACACCGGUGGCGAAGGCGACUUCCUGGACCAAUACUGACGCUGAGACGCGAAAGCGUGGGGAGCAAACAGGAUUAGAUA
rnacentral:rRNA from 1 species